UUUCCCCUUCUAUCAAAACAAAAGCCCUUUUUCUUUGCUCUAACCUGAACCUCCUACUUCACAAUUCCCACACCCUGUUCAAACCUCCAUCUUCCUAUUUGCAACUUCCACUCGAAACUAAGCCCCUCUAUCCCAAACCUUCGACAACUAGGCUAAAUGAGAAUGAAGGAAGUUUUUAAAACCCCAAGUAUCGCCAAUUCAAAACCAAAUGAUCGUGAACCACUGUUGAGGCAAAAAAACAGACACAGUCGCCUCUGAAAAAAACUAAACCCCAAGUCACACGAGAGGAACAAGCUUCACCUCAUGGUGCGAGCAACUCUACGAUGGCCUACCGACACCACAACCCUGUAAUCGAUGUGCCUAAUUCUCCACCCCGAGAAUAAAAUGUAUAGAAUCGUGGAAUAAGUUACCAAGCGAAAAACCAAAAACACAACAGCCCAUAGCCAAAGAACCUACGAGCAGAGACAAAGAGGCCACACAAGACCGAAAGAGGGCACGAGUUAAAAAUGGAAUAUGCGGGUGUACAGCAAGCGCUAGAAGGGUGUGCCACCUAUGGCCACCAUAGAACCUGCUGCGAACACAGAUUCUGUUUCAGCCUCCAUCGCACAAUAAUCCCUCACCUUGUAAGUGAUUCUACUGUAACACAGAAUAUGGAUGCCUGCAUGACUCACAUCGAGACCUUGAGCCUCCAAAUGGCCACUAAGCUGCAUAAAGUUGAGGAGCUAGCCCAAUCAGAAGCUCAAGCUUUGAAGGUCGGCCCUUGCCCUAAGACCAGAUGAUGCUUCCUACUGCGCCCUACCUCCAGAUGAGGAAGAGAAUGAGGAACCGCCAGUUGAUCUACCCAUUGAAGUUUAUGAGGAUCCCGUGGAUUCGAAAAAUUUGAGUACAUGAUCAUCUCCGUACUCUGAUGAGUCCAAUAGUAUGAUGAUAGAAGUGGCCCUCUUUUGUAUUUUGACAAUGUAUUUUACAGCCACUU